CAGGUGGUCAGGUAGAGAAUACCAAGGCGCUUGAGAGAACUCGGGUGAAGGAACUAGGCAAAAUGGUGCCGUAACUUCGGGAGAAGGCACGCUGGUGUGUAGGUGAAGUCCCUGCGGAUGGAGCUGAGACCAGUCGAAGAUACCAGCUGGCUGCAACUGUUUAUUAAAAACACAGCACUGUGCAAACACGAAAGUGGACGUAUACGGUGUGACGCCUGCCCGGUGCCGGAAGGUUAAUUGAUGGGGUUAUCCGUAAGGAGAAGCUCUUGAUCGAAGCCCCGGUAAACGGCGGCCGUAACUAUAACGGUCCUAAGGUAGCGAAAUUCCUUGUCGGGUAAGUUCCGACCUGCACGAAUGGCGUAAUGAUGGCCAGGCUGUCUCCACCCGAGACUCAGUGAAAUUGAACUCGCUGUGAAGAUGCAGUGUACCCGCGGCAAGACGGAAAGACCCCGUGAACCUUUACUAUAGCUUGACACUGAACAUUGAGCCUUGAUGUGUAGGAUAGGUGGGAGGCUUUGAAGCGUGGACGCCAGUCUGCGUGGAGCCAACCUUGAAAUACCACCCUUUAAUGUUUGAUGUUCUAACGUUGGCCCCUUACCGGGGUUGCGGACAGUGUCUGGUGGGUAGUUUGACUGGGGCGGUCUCCUCCCAAAGCGUAACGGAGGAGCACGAAGGUUAGCUAAUCCUGGUCGGACAUCAGGAGGUUAGUGCAAUGGCAUAAGCUAGCUUGACUGCGAGCGUGACGGCGCGAGCAGGUGCGAAAGCAGGUCAUAGUGAUCCGGUGGUUCUGAAUGGAAGGGCCAUCGCUCAACGGAUAAAAGGUACUCCGGGGAUAACAGGCUGAUACCGCCCAAGAGUUCAUAUCGACGGCGGUGUUUGGCACCUCGAUGUCGGCUCAUCACAUCCUGGGGCUGAAGUAGGUCCCAAGGGUAUGGCUGUUCGCCAUUUAAAGUGGUACGCGAGCUGGGUUUAGAACGUCGUGAGACAGUUCGGUCCCUAUCUGCCGUGGGCGCUGGAGAAUUGAGGGGGGCUGCUCCUAGUACGAGAGGACCGGAGUGGACGCAUCACUGGUGUUCGGGUUGUCAUGCCAAUGGCACUGCCCGGUAGCUAAAUGCGGAAGAGAUAAGUGCUGAAAGCAUCUAAGCACGAAACUUGCCCCGAGAUGAGUUCUCCCUGAGACUUUAAGUCUCCUGAAGGAACGUUAAAGACGA
rnacentral:rRNA from 1 species